ensembl:lncRNA
AUAACUAGGUCUCAGCGGGACACUCAAUACUGUAGAAAAGAAUGUGUUUGACAAAUAGGCCUUGGGCAGUUGUUGACCUAGGACAGUUCUUCAAAUUCUAUAGCCACUUGAAUUAGUGUUUCUUCAACUAAUCUCCAUCUAAGUCAGUUGGCCCAAAUCAUUUCUGCCAAAAUAAUCUUAACACAGAACACUUUUCAUUUCUUCACUUGAGUUCCUGUUAUGCCCACAGUUACAGAAUGAAAGCCAAGCUUCUUUAGCAUAAUAUUGAAAACCCUUAAUGACCUGACUUCAGGCUAUCUCUUCAGUUUGAUUUCCCAUCAUUCUCUUUUCACUUUUUACUGACAAACCAUCUUCUUUCUUUGACUACACCUUGCUCUCUGUCUUCGCUGUGCCUGUAUGACCUCCCCCUUGCAGUUUCUUUAAUCCCUCUCGUAUUUUAAAUAAUCUAAUUCUUUGUGCUGUGUUUCUCUUUUGCUUGUACCUCUGUAACACAACUAACUAACUAAUCCAGACUGCCUGGAUUCAAGUCUCAGUUCCACAAUAAAUCACGUAAUAAAUCACUUAAUCUCUGUGCACUUUGGUUUUCUUAUCUGUAGCCCGGGUCUGAUAGUACCUACCUCAUAGGGUAUUGUUGGUUUAAAUGAGGUAAAGCACGGAAAGUUCCUGGUACGUAGUAAACCUUCAAGUGGUGGUUGCUGCUGUUAUUAAACACUUCUCUAUAAUUUGAUCAAACUUCUGAAUUCAAGGAAUGUGGCUUUCUCAUAGUCCAGAGACCUGACACAGUGCUUUACAUGAAUUACCAUGAUUAAACUUGGGGCUAGGUUAUAAAGGAAAACUGAAACUAUUUCCUGGAGAUGUGAAAGGCCCACUCACCUAUCUUCCAGGAUUGUUUCAGUGAACUUUUUCCUGAAAGCAGAGACAUGCAUAGAUCAGCAGCCUUUAUGGUGCUCUAAUAUUGAUACUCAUACAGAGGACCACGAUGAUAACAAGCACCUUGUUGAUCCUGAAGAGAACUCUGGAGGCUUCUUCAAGCUUGUGGGUUCUUCAUUCUCUUGAAGCCUUCCAUACAUGUGGUGUGUUUUGCCGAG